rnacentral:rRNA from 1 species
UACGGGGGGAGCAAGCGUUGUUCGGAUUCAUUGGGCGUAAAGGGUGCGUAGGUGGCGCCGUAAGUGGGGUGUGAAAUCUCGGGGCUUAACUCCGAAACUGCAUUCCAUACUGCGGUGCUUGAGGACUGGAGAGGAGACUGGAAUUCAUGGUGUAGCAGUGAAAUGCGUAGAGAUCAUGAGGAAGACCAGUGGCGAAGGCGGGUCUCUGGACAGUUCCUGACGCUGAGGCACGAAGGCCAGGGGAGCAAACGGG